rnacentral:rRNA from 1 species
CCUACGGGUGGCAGCAGUGAGGAAUAUUGGUCAAUGGACGAGAGUCUGAACCAGCCAAGUAGCGUGAAGGAUGACUGCCCUAUGGGUUGUAAACUUCUUUUAUAUGGGAAUAAAAUGUUCCACGUGUGGGAUUUUGUAUGUACCAUAUGAAUAAGGAUCGGCUAACUCCGUGCCAGCAGCCGCGGUAAUACGGAGGAUCCGAGCGUUAUCCGGAUUUAUUGGGUUUAAAGGGAGCGUAGGUGGAUUGUUAAGUCAGUUGUGAAAGUUUGCGGCUCAACCGUAAAAUUGCAGUUGAUACUGGCAGUCUUGAGUACAGUAGAGGUGGGCGGAAUGCGUGGUGUAGCGGUGAAAUGCUUAGAGAUCACGAAGAACUCCGAUUGCGAAGGCAGUUCACUGGACUGCAACUGACACUGAGGCUCGAAAGUGUGGGUAUCAAACAGGAUUAGAUACCCGUGUAGUC